rnacentral:rRNA from 1 species
GACGAACGCUGGCGGCGUGCUCAACACAUGCAAGUCGAACGGAAAGGCCCUGCUUUUGUGGGGUGCUCGAGUGGCGAACGGGUGAGUACCACGUGAGUAACCUGCCCUUGUCUUUGGGAUAGCUUCAGGAAACUGGGGCUAAUACCGGAUAGGAGCUCCUGCUGCAUGGUGGGGGUUGGAAAGUUUCGGCGGUUGGGGAUGGACUCGCGGCUUAUCAGCUUGUUGGUGGGGUAGUGGCUUACCAAGGCUUUGACGGGUAGCCGGCCUGAGAGGGUGACCGGCCACAUUGGGACUGAGAUACGAGCCAGACGCCAUCGGGAGGCAGCAGUGGGGAAUAUUGCACAAUGGGCGGAAGCCUGAUGCAGCAACGCCGCGUGCGGGAUAACGGCCUUCGGGUUGUAAACCGCUUUCGCCUGUGACGAAGCGUGAGUGACGGUAAUGGGUAAAGAAGCACCGGCUAACUACGUG